rnacentral:rRNA from 1 species
AAGGAUCAUUACAGAGUUAGGGGCUCUGCCCCAACCUCCAACCCGUGCGAUCGAAAGCGUUGCUUUGGCGGGCCGGCACCCAGCCCGCCGGCCCAGCUGGCGAGUGCCCGUCAAAGGCCCACACAAACUCUCAAAAAACGAAACUAAAAAAAAUUAUCGUGAAAUCAUAAAACUUUCAACAACGGAUCUCUUGGUUCCGGCAUCGAUGAAGAACGCAGCGAAAUGCGAAAAGUAAUGUGAAUUGCAGAAUUCAGUGAAUCAUCGAGUCUUUGAACGCACAUUGCGCCCUCUGGUAUUCCGGGGGGCACGCCUGUCCGAGCGUCAUCGCAUAAUCGAGCUCCGCUCGGCAUUGGGUUCGCCGGGGGCGGCCCGAAACGCAGCGGCGCGGUCGCCGGGCAAGGACGCACUGAAGACUUCGUUCCUGCGUCCGGCGAGCGCUGCCAGAAACCACAUUUCUGACAGAUUGACCUCGGAUCAGGCGGGACCACCCGCUGAACUUAA